AUUGAACGCUGGCGGCAGGCCUAACACAUGCAAGUCGAGCGGAGCGGCGGACGGGUGAGUAAUGCCUAGGAAUCUGCAUGGUAGUGGGGGAUAAGGUCCGCAAAUGGGCGCUAAUACCGCAUACUAUCAGAUGAGGCUAGGUCGGAUUAGCUAGUGGGUGGGGUAAAGGCAUACCAAGGCGACGACCCGUAACUGGUCUGAGAGGAUGAUCAGCCACACUGGAACUGAGACACGGUCCAGACUCCUACGGUAGGCAGCAGUGGGGAAUAUUGGACAAUGGGCGAAAGCCUGAUGCAGCCAUGCCGCGUGUGUGAAGAAGGCCUUCGGAUUGUAAAGCACUUUAAGUUGGGAGGCGUUACCAACAGAAGAAGCACCGGCUAACUUCGUGCCAGCAGCCGCGGUAAUUC
rnacentral:rRNA from 1 species